ACAUUUCAGGGACACCAUGAAGGGUGGCUUCACUGGGGGUGAUGAGUACCAGAAGCACUUCCUGCCCAGGGACUACUUGGCUACUUACUACAGCUUCGAUGGCAGCCCCUCACCCGAGGCCGAGAUGCUGAAGUUUAACUUGGAAUGUCUCCACAAGACCUUCGGCCCUGGCCUCCAAGGGGACACGCUGAUUGACAUUGGCUCAGGUCCUACCAUCUACCAAGUUCUUGCUGCCUGUGAUUCCUUCCAAGACAUCACUCUCUCCGACUUUACCGACCGCAACCGGGAGGAGCUGGAAAAGUGGCUGAAGAAGGAGCCGGGGGCCUAUGACUGGACCCCAGCGGUGAAAUUCGCCUGUGAGCUGGAAGGAAACAGGGACAUGGAGUUAAUUAAUAACACGACUCUUGUCAAUUCACGACAUCCUGCCAUCACUGGUCCUUGAGAGGCCAUCUUUUAUUAACUAAUGAAUCAAUAGAAAUAAUAUAAAAGAUGCUGAAGAAACAAAUACACUCAUGACACCCAGAGCACGACGGAUACUUAUCAUUACCUGCGUUGUUCUCAUCUGCCAUGUCCUUGACCUUCCCAUUCCCAGGGCUUAAAGAAGACAUGUGUGACCAUGGACCAGGAACGCCCACGCUCUGACCUCAGCAUAAACAACAGAAAUGAUCUUCGAAAGGUUUUGCAUCUUGAAUUUCUCUAUAAGGAGAACAAGGCAAAGGAAAAUCCUCUAAAAACAAGCCUUGAACUCAUCACCAGAUACUUUCUGGAUCACUUUGGAAAUACGGCUAACAAUUUCACUCAAGAUACCCCAAUCCCUGCACUCUCAGUUCCAAAGAAAAAUAACAAAGUGCCAUCAAGAUGCUCAGAGACUACACUGGUAAAUAUAUAUGACCUUUCAGAUGAAGAUGCAGGAUGGAGAACAUCAUUGUCAGAAACAAGCAAAGCCAGACAUGACAAUCUUGAUGGAGAUGUACUUGGUAAUUUUGUAUCAUCUAAAAGGCCCCCGCACAAAAGUAAGCCCAUGCAGACGGUCCCGGGUGAAACUCCUGUGUUGACUUCUGCAUGGGAGAAGAUAGACAAGCUUCACUCGGAGCCUUCCUUGGAUGUGAAGAGGAUGGGAGAGAAUUCCAGGCCAAAGUCUGGUCUGAUUGUGCGAGGCAUGAUGUCUGGGCCCAUCGCCAGCUCCCCACAGGAUUCUUUUCACAGACACUAUCUGAGACGGUCCUCACCGUCAAGCAGCUCCACCCAACCCCAAGAAGAGAGCCGGAAGGUCCCUGAGCUCUUUGUCUGCACCCAACAGGACAUUCUGGCUUCGAGCAACAGCUCCCCCUCCAGGACCUCCCUGGGUCAGCUUAGUGAACUGACCGUAGAAAGGCAGAAAACCACUGCCAGCAGCCCUCCCCAUCUGCCCAGCAAACGGCUGCCCCCAUGGGACAGGGCCAGGCCGAGGGAUCCCUCCGAGGACACCCCAGCAGUGGACGGCAGCACAGACACGGACAGGAUGCCCUUGAAGCUCUACUUGCCUGGUGGUAAUUCCAGGAUGACCCAGGAGAGGCUGGAAAGAGCGUUCAAACGGCAGGGCAGCCAGCCCGCACCUGUCAGGAAAAAUCAGUUGCUGCCGUCUGACAAGGUGGAUGGUGAGCUGGGUGCCCUGCGGCUCGAGGAUGUGGAGGAUGAGUUGAUAAGGGAAGAGGUCAUCCUGUCGCCAGUCCCAUCAGUGCUCAAGUUGCAGACAGCAUCAAAACCAAUUGACCUCUCAGUAGCAAAGGAAAUAAAGACCCUUCUGUUUGGUUCCAGCUUUUGCUGUUUCAAUGAAGAAUGGAAACUUCAGAGUUUUUCCUUUAGUAACACAGCCUCAUUAAAAUACGGCAUAGUGCAGAACAAGGGUGGUCCUUGCGGAGUCCUGGCAGCUGUCCAAGGCUGUGUCCUACAGAAACUCCUGUUUGAAGGAGAUAGCAAAGCCGACUGUGCUCAGGGACUGCAGCCUUCAGAUGCCCACCGGACCCGCUGCCUCGUCCUGGCCCUCGCAGACAUUGUGUGGCGGGCAGGGGGCCGAGAGAGAGCCGUUGUUGCACUGGCUUCGAGAACACAGCAGUUCAGUCCAACAGGGAAAUACAAAGCAGAUGGAGUCUUAGAAACACUUACGCUUCACAGUUUGACCUGCUAUGAGGACCUGGUGACUUUUCUUCAACAAAGCAUUCAUCAGUUUGAAGUGGGCCCCUAUGGCUGCAUCCUGCUCACCCUUUCUGCCAUCCUGUCCAGGUCUACAGAGCUCAUCCGCCAGGACUUUGAUGUCCCCACCAGCCACCUGAUUGGAGCACAUGGCUACUGUACACAGGAACUUGUCAAUCUGCUCCUGACUGGGAAAGCUGUGUCCAACGUUUUCAACGAUGUGGUUGAGCUGGAUUCUGGGGAUGGGAACAUCACACUUCUCAGAGGCAUUGCUGCACGCAGUGAUAUUGGCUUCUUAUCUCUCUUUGAGCAUUACAACAUGUGCCAGGUUGGCUGCUUCCUGAAGACCCCGAGGUUCCCCAUCUGGGUGGUUUGCAGUGAGAGCCACUUCAGCAUCCUCUUUAGCCUGCAGCCGGGGCUCCUGCGUGACUGGAGGACUGAGAGGCUCUUUGACUUGUACUACUACGAUGGCCUGGCCAACCAGCAGGAGCAGAUCCGGCUGACCAUUGACACCACCCAAACCAUCUCUGAGGACACAGACAACGACCUUGUCCCACCCCUCGAGCUCUGCAUCAGAACCAAGUGGAAGGGGGCAUCAGUGAACUGGAACGGCUCAGACCCCAUCCUGUGACCGUUGGAUGUGGGUAAACCCUGUGGUCCACCACUCAUCACCUCAUCACCGAGGAUGACAGCUGAACCCCAAGCCUCUGGGGCAGGUCUCAUGUACCCCAACCUGGGUCAGCAUGACUGCAGAAGCAUCCAGAGCCUCCCUGCCCCUUCCAUGAAGGGCCCACCCAAGACUGUGCUGGGGACCCAGUGUGUUGCUGGGUCCCCUCCCAGCUGAGCUGUGACUGCUGAGUACUGGAAGGAGGUUGCCAGGGUCUCUGCUACCUUUGUCUGCAUCCCUCCCUUGCUCCCUGCUGGGUGGUCCCUCACCCAGGCCUCCAAUGUGGUUGGCCCUGGGGACUCAUUACUUCUGGUAGCUGGCUUUCUAUAAAAAUGGGUCAAACCCA